rnacentral:rRNA from 1 species
UACGGAGGGUGCAAGCGUUAUCCGGAUUCACUGGGUUUAAAGGGUGCGUAGGAGGGUAGGUAAGUCAGUGGUGAAAUCUUCGAGCUUAACUCGGAACUGCCGUUGAUACUAUCUAUCUUGAAUACCGUGGGGUGAGCGGAAUAUGUCAUGUAGCGGUGAAAUGCUUAGAUAUGACAUAGAACACCAAUUGCGAAGGCAGCUCGCUACACGAAUAUUGACUCUGAGGCACGAAAGCGUGGGGAUCAAACAGG